GUUCAAUGUCAUCUUUGCUAAAUCAACAGAUGGGAGGCGUGGCUGCUGCUGAAGCCGCUGCCCCAUACUUGGCCACUGAUGCUGAAGUUGAUCAGCGUAUCAGAUGGUGGUGAGACUGGCAAGGUCUUGCUGCCUGCAGCACUUGAGGGAAGCGGCGAUGCUGUAUGGCUUGAGCUUUGGAGCCGCCCCUCCUAGAAGGGCUUCAACUGCCAGGAGCAGGAGCUCGGACUCCGUGAGGGACUUGCUCUGCGGAGAGUUUCACGAGGUACACCCAGGGCUGCUGCCUGGAGCCAUCUUACCAGAAGGCAGUGGGAAGUGGACCCGGGAGACUGCUGAGCCCAAGCCAGUCCUCAGAGAAGCAUGGUAACAGGUAGUUUCCCCACCUCCCUUGCAAGUCUAGCCCAUCACUCCAUGUCUCCAUGAUUUCCAGUGUCAAAUCAUAA
rnacentral:lncRNA from 1 species